rnacentral:piRNA from 1 species
UAGGACGAGAGUGUAGUGCCCUCCCAGA